AGAGUUUGAUCAUGGCUCAGGACGAACGCUGGCGGCGUGCUUAACACAUGCAAGUGGAGCGACGAACCAGGGCUUGCCCUGGGGCAAAGCCGCGAACGGGUGAGUAACACGUGAGUAACCUGCCCCGAUGACCGGGACAACCCGAGGAAACUCGGGCUAAUACCGGAUGUGGUGCACAUUCAUAAGUUUGUGUACUAAAGGAAGCUUCGGCCUCCGCAUUGGGAGGGGCUCGCGGCCCAUUAGCUUGUUGGUGGGGUAACGGCCCACCACGGCUUCGAUGGGUAGCUGGUCUGAGAGGACGAUCAGCCACACUGGGACUGAGACACGGCCCAGACUCCUACGGGAGGCAGCAGUGGGGAAUCUUGCGCAAUGCGCGAAAGCGUGACGCAGCAACGCCGCGUGGGGGAAGACGGCCUUCGGGUUGUAAACCCCUUUCAGGAGGGACGAAGGUUCACCGGUUAAUAGCCGUGUGGAUUGACGGUACCUCAGAAGAAGCUCCGGCUAACUACGUGCCAGCAGCCGCGGUA
rnacentral:rRNA from 1 species